CUCUUUUGUUGACUAUUAGUGAGGCGCACGCGCAUCUGCGAGUUUCAGAAAAGCGCGGUUCAAUUUUGGCGGGUCCGGCCAUAAUAUUUAAAAAUAAAUAAGGUAUUUGAAAAUACUAUUUAUCAGUGAAUUUGUAUAUUUUCCCCCUGUCAUGGUUGGGUUUCCUCCGAGUUCCCCCCCACAGUCCGUAAGUGUGAAGGCGUGUGUGAAUGGUGUGUGUCCCCGUCAAUGGAUUGGCGUCCCUUCCUGGGUUACUACCUGCCUCGGGGAUAUUGAAAAUGGAUGGAUGGAUAAUUAUUAUUUAUCCAUUCUCUAAUAAGUUGUGUUUUAUUCGUUCUGAAGCCGAAAGUAUUUCGACCAAGUAUACUGUCUUGUUCGGCGACGAAUAAAAUUAAGAAAAAACUGAGCCGAUACGAAAUGUUGUCUAAUGUGUCUGGGUCGUCACAGACAGUGUAGCACGUUUAUGUGAAACUUAGCAAAAAUGCAAGAAAAUGAGAAAAGCGAACAAGAGCUGGUCACCGAACGACAGUCCUCUUGCGCUGUAUGGAAAUAUUUCCUAUUCCCCAGAGACAAUACGGUGCAAAAACAAGCGAUUUGUCGGCACUGCCUCGUGCCUGUUGGUACAACUGGCGGCAACAGCUCCCAACUUAUUUUACAAAAUUCCGUUAGAGUUACAGUGUAAGUGCACUAUUGACAUGGCAUUUCCUGACAGAUCAUUAGCCAACACAUAAUAUAUGCCUAAAGUAGAUGAUUUCAGCAAGCAUUCUUACUAAUCAAAAUUUGUUAAGCAAAAUUUUUUCUAUUGUGGUACUUCGAUCGCUGUUCCCUUCAACGAAUUUAAUACAUCAUGUACUAUUUAAAUCAAUUUAUAAUAUUUACUUAUUCAAUCAUAAUACACUGCCAUAAAAUAUAAGGGUUAAAUACACUAUGGUAAAAUUCACGUAUAAGUUAUUCAGAUGCACUUGUAUCACCACAAUUAAUUAAAGAGGUUCCUCCACUGUAAAAAAUAGACCUUCUUAUUUUUAAUUAUUAUUAUUAAAAUAUUCUCACAUUGAAAUUAAAUAAAUAUAGGAAACGCUUUGAUCUUCUGGUUAACACGUUAAAUUUGCCAAUUUCCCCCUAAAAUCUUGAAAAUAAAAGGUACCCCAAAACUUACCGCGGAUGCAUAUCAUAACUGGCCGUGAAAUGUAGUUGGAGAUGGAAGCAGCCAGAGGCGGGAAGAGCGAGCGGGCCGGGAACGCAGGCGGGAAGAGCGAGCCGGGAAGGAGGUCAGUAUAUCACCAGCCCUGCAGCACUGAAGCCAGAACAUCACCAGCCGUGCAGGAGGCCAACAUAUCACCAGCCCUGCAGCACAACAACACCAGCCAAUCAUCAGCCCCGUAGCAGGCACACCAAGAAAAGCAAUGAAUUCCAUUCUUUGCCGAGUCCUGGCUGUACUUGAAGAAAUUAAGGAUACACAGCAAAUCAAUGGAAAAAUGUUAAAUGCACUCUUGAAACAUGGAGACUGUCAGCUUCCUGAAGGUGGUGCUAUUUCCUGGUGACUAGUGACCUUGUCCUGAGGGACAACCUCUUUGGGCGCCAUGGCAAGCGAGCAUUUCAUAAUUGCCAGCUUUUUGAAGUUGUUUAUAAUGAGAGCAAGCUUAGCAGUGACGGGCUUCUCCUGUAGCAGUGCCCAGGGAGCUGGGGGUUUCUCUCAAGGGUCCACAGAUGCCGCUAUCCUGCACUUACUGUCUUAUGGCACACGUCACAUCAGUCUUCUGCAAAAGAAAGUAUGAGGGCACUGAAAAGAAAGCUGUGCUCAGGAACCAACAGGAACUGGUUAUGAGCUACCUUGACGUAAAGCAGCUGCUACAUCAUCUGUAUGUUUUGUUUUCCUAUUAUUUUUAAAUGAAAGAUUAGCAA